CGUCCCAAGCUGCUGGUGGCGGUAAUGAGUCACUGUGUGCCAACCACCGAAGAAGAUGUUAGUUGUUAGUCGUUAGCCGGCGGAGAGUUACCGGGCAGCGGGGAGACAGUGGCCGUCUCUGAGGUAAGUUUGUCGGUGAGAUGCAGCGAGUCAGUCCGGAGGCGGAGCUGCGGACUCUGGCGGAGUGUCGGUACAGCUUCCCGGCAGAGACGCUCUCAGACCUGCAGUCGGUUCGGGCUCGGUUCUCCGACCUGCGGCUCUACGUCGACUUUUACUGUUUUCCAAACAAAGAGAAGAAGAAGCUGGUUUAUCUGGCCGGAACACUUCCUAUUUACUACGAAGGAGCUGAGUACAACAUCCCAGUGUGCAUCUGGCUCCAUGAGACUCACCCGGUGUCCCGUCCUCGCUGCUAUGUCUGUCCGUCCGUCGCCAUGGUGAUCAAUCCGUCCUGUCCCUACGUGGACGCCUCCGGAAACAUCAGCGUGGAUGCACUCAACAAGUGGUCUCAGGGCAUGUCCGACCUGUCACAGCUCGUGUCAGAGAUCAGACGGGCAUUCCAGAAGGACACCCCUCUCUUCACCAGGCAACGAGUUCAAGCCCCACCCCCUGCAGGUGUCCAGGUGUUCCAGUCAGCUGACAGCGUCCUCUCAUCGUCCUCAUCCCAACACCGUGUCUCUCUGUCCUCGUCUCAUCUGUCUGGACAUUCAGCCAGCCAAUUGGAGCUGUGCAGGACUGUGAGGGCGGGGCGUUCAUACACCGAGGACCUGCUGGGCAUCGACUUCAGCGCUCCUCCUCCAUCACCCUCCAACCCCUUCAUUAGUUCCUCCCUUUCAGGUGCCCCCCUUGAAGACCCUCUCACCAGGCAAAUGGGAGCACUGAGGCUGGAUGAAGAGUUCAGCAGAGACCAGGCUGAGGCACCUGUCCAAAUCAUCCAAUCAGAAGCAACCAGAGACAGACACACUGAUGAUUCUGGUGCAGGACCUGGACUCAGUCAGGACCUCCAUCCUCUCAAACCCUCAUCCAGACCCGGAGCAGACAUUAUCAAGAUGGCGUCCCGGCUCCCUCCAGACCAGGCGGCAGUGUUUCUGUCUCUAAUGGCUAUGGAGGGGCGGAGCUUCAUCCCGACUGAUGUCAUGGAGGCAGUCCAGCUUAACAGAGACUUCCAGUCGGCUCUGAGGUUUCUGUGUCACAGCUGCCCCAUCUGCCAGGAGCAGGUGUCCUUCAGCAAGAUCAUCACGAUGACUCACUGCUCCUGCUUCCUGUGUCAGUCGUGUUUCAAGUUGUUUUUCUUGGCGGCCAUUAAAGAGCGCAGCGUGGAUCAGCUGGUUUGUCCUCAGUGUGGACAGCCAGAGGUCCGAGGACCGGGAGGGCUGGAGGGGUCUAUGGACUACUUCAACCUGCUGGACACACAGAUUCGUCAUUUUCUGCCUCCUGAGAUCCACGAGCUCUUCCAGAGGAAGCUCAGAGACCGAGCCCUGCAGGAGAUGCCCAACUUCUGCUGGUGUGCUCAUUGUUCUUUUGGGAUGCUCCAUGAGGCUGACAGCUUGAGGAUAGACUGUCCCAGCUGUAAGAAGAGCACCUGCUCUAAAUGCAGAUCACCUUGGUUUCCUCAGCAUCAGAGUCUCUCCUGUGAGCAGUUCAGAGUCUGGAAGCAGAAGAACCAACCAGAUCAUCACAGCAGCCCCCUGCUGUACAGCAGCAUAGAGUGUCCAAACUGCCAGCUUGUCUUCAGUCUGUCUAAAGGAGGAUGUCUUCACUUCACAUGCAGUCAGUGUCGGCAUCAGUUCUGUGGUGGAUGCAGUCAGCGUUUCACUCUGGGAUCUGCCUGCGGUUUCUCUGCUGACUGUGGAAGUAAAGGUCUUCAUGCUCACCACCCCAGAGACUGCCUUUACCACCUGAGAGACUGGAGUGUCACCCGCCUUCACCUGUUGCUACAGCAUUACAGUGUCUCUCCCUCCUGGUUGGAAGCAGCCAAUGGUAGCCCACCUGACAUCGGUCUGGCAGCAGUGUGUUUGGUUUUGGAACUGAGAGACGACAGCAGCAGACAGGAGGAGCCCUGUGGUCGACCUGCACUACCUGAAUACAGAGGAUACUGCCACAGGUUGCACUAUAAGGAGUAUUUGGUGGAGUUGAUCAACCGUUACCGUGUCGACCCUGCAGUCCUAUUUAGUCUGGCCGAGAUGACGGCGGAGCUGCAGCGCUGGCAGGUCGCCGUGCCGACCAGGAAACCUGAUGAACCGGAGGGGCUGUACACACACCGACUCCGCCUGACGCUGACCAAUAGCGUUCCUCUCAGGAAGCAGCGCCGCUCCCUGCUCAAACUCGGCGACAACCUUUGCCCUCUGCCCACCGCUGUGGUUGCCAGAGCCCCGCCCCCUCACCUGCUGCUGAGUGACUGACUCCAUCCCCUGUUCCUGGGGCAGAUCUGAUUGGCUCACUGGUUGCCAAGGAGAGCAACUACAGACAGACGGUAUCAAAGACAGCGAGUAGCCAAUCGGAGUACAGAGCUUACGCUGCCCUUAUUGAUCUGAAUGUCAACGAACACUCAGACCGCUAACGACACUACUGAUGCCAACAAGCCUUUCGUCAGUGUUCAGGGAUCCAUUUCUGUUUGAGCCAGUGUGAGCAGCAGUUAGCACGUGUUAACAGAGACACAUGUUGAUGGCUGCAGUUCCUGCUCCACGCAGCCUGCAGAGAAACACACAUGAUGACAGGAAACACCUUCACCUGGCUGCAGGUGUGCAGCAGCCCGCUGUUACCCGUGAACCGGGACGCUCAGGACGUUCUUCAGGCUGCAGAAGAUCCUGUCGACGGCUUCGGGGGCUCUGCUGGAUCCGAACUCUGUGGCCACGAUGGACUGCUGGAUGUCUGAGGAGAACAACAGCAGGUUCUUUAGGAGAACGCUUCGUGUUCUCAGAACAACGUCUGAUCUCCAGGUCCGUCUAAUCAUCUUAACUGUCUUCAGAGAGAAACCUCCAGCGGUUGUCCGUUGCAGAACGCUCCCUUCCCCCUCCUGGCGGUGAACAUCUUGUCUUCCAGACAGCUGUAGACGACACCAAACUCCACCUGAAGGAGCAGGAAGGUGGAAGCAUCUCAGAUUGGAGCAGGACCAGCAUAAUGAAUCCUAGAAUUAGAGAUAAUAGGUAUACUAGAAGAGAACCUACAGUCUACAGCAGUAAUGAGUACACUGCUGUGUAAUAUCACUUAAAUGUCAUAAGAUGCUAAACUUUGGAUGUUCUCCUGCUGGAAUAUUCCUCUUCAUCAUCUGGUCAGCCAGUAUUCUAGUUCAUCCUCAGACCUUCAUGCUGCAUCUAGAAAUGUCUUCAACACCUUCUGACCUCACGCAGCCCCAUAUCAUCACACUCCCACCUCCGUGCUUCACUGUCAGGAUUAUGCAUCCACUGUGGUAGUCCUGGUCAGGUUCUCACCAAACAUCUGGACUCCAUCUCAGCCCAACUCGUUGAUCUUCAACUGACCGAAGAAUGUCUUAAUCUGUAUUAUUAUUUUUUGCUUAACAUUUAUUUACCCAGGUAGGUCAACUGAGAACCAGUUCUCAUCUACCAUAAUGACCUGGCCAAGAGGCAGCGUAAAAGAUAAAUAUAAUUACAUUCAGCAGACACUUUUAUCCAAAGCAACAUACAUCUGAGAGUAGACACAACACAAGGGAGGUAGGACUGUGGUGUUGGUCAGUGAGCUAUCCAGCUGCUAAAUACUACACAGUGAGGACACGAAGAGAGAAAACAGCAGAAACAGAUAAUAGUUAUUCAUGGUGACCUAUAAUGAGGUAAAUGGCUAAAAGCAGGUAAAUGGUCUUGUACUAUUGGUUGAAUUGAAUUUUAAAUGAGGAGAGAAUGAAUGAGGGUAAAACUGGCAAUAGGAGGUAUUGGUUUUAGGUGUGAGGAGAUUGAUGAAGCUGCUGGAGCGCAGACUGGGAUUUGUACUGUGAAUGUUAAGAAGAGACUGCAGAUAUAACGGGUUUCCAAAAGAGAGGUUUGUAAAUGAACAGAAACCAGUAAGGUUGAAGGUCAGUUCAGCAGAGCAGAUGGCAUGUUCUCCAACUUCCAUCAGGCUUCUUCUCAUGUUUUUCAGCAAACUUUCAUCUGGAAGUUUAGUUCUGAGCAGCAACCAGGUUUAGUCCUGGUCCUCCGUCCAUAGAGGCUGAUGUUAUGAAGGUUCCUUCACACUGUCUGAGCUUCACACUGUUUCUUUAAACCAGGUCUGUGUUGCUGUAAAAUAGUGACGUGGAUAACUGACAGUAGACUAUGGAGCUGCUCCACCCAAACCUUCAGCAGAACAUUUUCAGUGUGAAGCUGCUGCCGAAAGUAGUCUGUAAUACAUGCAGCUGAUACACAAAACUGUGUUUCUCUGCAGAUGUUCCACAGCUGUGACAAUAAAAACGGUCUGAGAAUAAUGGCAGCUCAUUGAAGCAUAAACUGGUGUGAAAAUAAUGUGAAUUUGGAAAAGUCGUAGGCAAAACUCUGAUGUAUACAAGUUCUGUUUUGCUCCUCUUUCAGUUGUGAUGUUCAAUCAGUUAAUCCUCCUGCAGCGAAGAAUCAGCUGUGAGACCUGCACAGGCUCAUAAACAUUCCUUUAAUGUUUGAUAAACGUUUCCUUAAUGUUUGAUAAAGUCCCCUUAAUGUUUGAUAAAGGUCCUCUUAAUGUUUGAUAAAUGUUGCCUUAAUGUUUGAUAAACAUCCCCUUAAUGUUUGAUAAACAUCCCCUUAAUGUUUGAUAAACAUCCCCUUAAUGUUUGUUUUACUUUCCUUUAAUGUUUGAUAAACAUCCUCUUAAUGUAUGAUAAACAUACCCAUAAUGUUUGUUUUACAUUCCCUUAAUGUUUGAUAAACAUCCCUUUGUUUGUUUUAAUUCCCUUAAUGUUUGAUAAACGUCCCCUUAAUGUUUGCUAAAGUUCCUUUAAUGUAUGAUAAACGUUCCCUUAAUGUUUGGGUGAAGGGUAAACACCUCACUGGCUGAAGCCCUUCUUAUCAUUAGAAGUAACAUUUACGGAUGUUCCCUGAACGCCUCCCAGUGCAGGUAGAUGCUGUCAGGUGGCUGCAGUUCUCAGGUUGGUGUGUCAGCCCUAGCCAUCAAACUGAUUUUAUCGAUCCUUGUGAAUUUUAAACCUACAUGCUGUAGUUGAUGGUGUUUUUAUAGCGGUAUUGUGAUUAAUAUUCAUUUCAUUUUGCAGCUCCAGUACUGUGUUAACUGUUGUAAAUCCCUGUACAGUUCAGGUCAGGUGAGUUUUUUUAAAUAAUCAGCUACAGCAUCAAACUGACAGUACCACCAAUAACAAGUCCAUCAUUCGCUCACACUUAGGGGCUUUCGACCAAAGAGCACCAGGUGCUAGGUUGGUUCAAAGUUGAGAGCCAGUGCUUUUUUGGUUCAAAUCUCGUGCCGCCCCAGAACGGGUUUGUGUUUCCAUUCGGAAGGAGCAAAGUUGGAGUUGCGUCAUUGCGCCGCCACAAAACGUGUGUACGUCACUGCGUACGUAGCCGUUCAACAGCGUUCGCGCCGUACGGAAACCCACACAACAACAAUGGAGGACUUCAUUGGAGUGGUGUUCAUGGCUUUGCUAGUGUGUCUCGCCAUCGCUGAACAGCAAAACCUUCUGUUAGGGGUUACCCAUUGGUGUCGCCGUUCCAAUGCCCAGCGAUCACGUUUGAGAAGAAAGGUAAUUAUCAAAGAUGUUUGGAUACUUAACAGUAAACGUGCUAGCAUUAGCUUAGCUACUUAGCUUCGACUACGCUUGCAUUGAUUACUUAGCGGUUAAACGCGCAAUAAGUUGAUGAUCAUAUCUAUGUUUAUCUUUUUAGAUGUUUUUAGAUGUCACCCCGCCCCCUGCCCGUGACAUGCUCGGCUCUCAACUCUGGCCAAGUCUGGCCCAGCAACGAGUUGGUGCCCGAAAAAGCCCCAGUUUUUGGAGCCCGGAGCCGCAGCUCCGGUGGUGGAAAGACAAAAAACCGGUGCCAAGUCGGGCACCGGCUCCGACUCCGAACGGGCUCCACUCCGGUCGAAAGCCCCUAACUGAUGCCAUCACUUCAAAUCCUUUCAAAUUACAAUUAAAUUCAAUAAACAACAAUUUAAAGCACAAUUUUUUGUUCUUUUAAUAAGAACAAAAAUAACAAAAAAACAGAACUUAAUUUUUCUUUUUACAAACUGUGAAUAAAAAAUGGUUAAAAAAGUGUUCACACAUCAGUUAAUCAUUAGAAACAUCAAAUCAAAGCGAUUGAUCCCUGAAGCUGCUGGUGACUCAGACCUCAGAUCUGUUUCUUGCUGACGACUUUCACUUUGUCGUCACGUCUGUUGUUUCUGUCGGUUCCUGUUUCCGUCUGUUGUUGCUUCUGUCUGUUGUUUCUGUCAGUUAUUGUUUCUGUCUGUUGUUACAUUCGGUUGUUUCUGUCGGUGGUCGUUUCUGUCUUGUUUCCGUUGGUUGUUGUUUCUGUCGGUUGUUGUUUCCGUCGG